rnacentral:rRNA from 1 species
CGGCGUGCUUACACAUGCAAGUCGAGCGGAAAGGCCCUUCGGGGUACUCGAGCGGCGAACGGGUGAGUAACACGUGAGCAACCUGCCCCAGGCUUUGGGAUAACCCCGGGAAACCGNGGCUAAUACCGAAUAUGACCUUGCACCGCAUGGUGUUUGGUGGAAAGUUUUUCGGCUUGGGAUGGGCUCGCGGCCUAUCAGCUUGUUGGUGGGGUGAUGGCCUACCAAGGCGACGACGGGUAGCCGGCCUGAGAGGGCGACCGGCCACACUGGGACUGAGACACGGCCCAGACUCCUACGGGAGGCAGCAGUGGGGAAUAUUGCACAAUGGGCGGAAGCCUGAUGCAGCGACGCCGCGUGAGGGAUGACGGCCUUCGGGUUGUAAACCUCUUUCAGCAGGGACGAAGCGUAAGUGACGGUACCUGCAGAAGAAGCGCCGGCCAACUACGUGCCAGCAGCCGCGGUAAGACGUAGGGCGCGAGCGUUGUCCGGAUUUAUUGGGCGUAAAGAGCUCGUAGGCGGCUUGUCGCGUCGACUGUGAAAACCCGCAGCUCAACUGCGGGCCUGCAGUCGAUACGGGCAGGCUAGAGUUCGGUAGGGGAGACUGGAAUUCCUGGUGUAGCGGUGAAAUGCGCAGAUAUCAGGAGGAACACCGGUGGCGAAGGCGGGUCUCUGGGCCGAUACUGACGCUGAGGAGCGAAAGCGUGGGGAGCGAACAGGAUUAGAUACCCUGGUAGUCCACGCUGUAAACGUUGGGCGCUAGGUGUGGGGGGCCUCUCCGGUUCCCUGUGCC